CUGCGACUGUUUGCAACCUUUUUAGCGGUCAAUUUGUGAUUGAUUUUUCCCAGAAACCGUUUCACUUUGGGCUCAUUUUCGCCACUCUAAACCCGCCUUAGAGCCCGAUGCUCACGGACAUUCAAGGGGCUGUUUACUUGCCAGCAACUUAAAAAACUUAACAAAUUAAGCUGAUAAAAACCACAUACACAACUGCCAAGCCCUCCAUCAGCGAACUGAAUUUCCAUAAAAACAAAAACUGAGCCCGUUUUCCAGUGUGAGGCACGCACGUUAAUGUUCCACCACGUAGGUCUAUGCCGCACCAAAUCGCGCAAAUAGUAGAAAGUGAAUACAACUAUCUCGACAGCGCCAGUCAUUUAUGUACAAUUGCCAUCAUAUAAUGAUGAUAUCGCCAUAUCAAGCCGCAAUUUCCACCUAAAUGUUUCAAGUGGCCCGUCUAUACUUAUCGCUUUUCCAAUUAAAGGAUCAGAUACUGUGUUAUAAUUGUUUCUGCCUCCCAAACAACACAUGAUUCACUAGAUAAGCGACAAACGCAUACUUCACUGUCAGUUAUGACACUGUGUCAAAUUGGGACUUUCAACGUGUGUCAGUUGUCAAAAGUUUGUAGUUUUGACAAGUUGCACUGACAGAAAUGUCUAUAUUUACCUCUAUCGCGCUACUAUUGGUUGGACGGUAUUUAGUAAUGUUAGCUUUACCAGAAAAGUAAACUGCUCAACAAAUGAACAUUUUGCCGCGGCGCAAGCUCGGCUCGCUACGUCUGGCCGCGGCGCUACAUUUUUGCCCCAACUUUGGAAGUCGACAAAUUCUGAUUUGGUUUGUAUUUGAAGCGUUUUUGAGCCCCAUGUGUUGUUAGCCAAUGUUUCGGUAACAAUUAAGCAUCUAAGACAAAUUUUGUACAGAGUGGCAAAUAAAAAACUGCAAAAUUUGCAAAAUAAA